AAGUGUAGAGAAACGACCUUGGCUGUUUCUUGUAACAAGUAAAUCGACACAACAAUAUGUUGGGCGAGUCCUCUCCAAACCGGAGACAAACUCUAUAUCACUAUGAAUCGAAAACGUUACAAGCUUCGCACUAGUUCUUCCCGAAGCCCACCAGCAGGCCCAAGAGACACAAAGCCUCACAUUCUCCACCUUGGCUCUUGAGUCACUCCUCGACUUCUCCGCUUCUCCAUCUCUCUCUCUCUGCGAAAAUGAAAAAAAAAAAACUGAAGCACCGACGAGCUCGCCGCCUCGUCUUCUUCAAGCUUCGUCCGUUCCUCGACGCAGCUUCACCGGAGUUGCAUGCCCUUUCCGAUCCUUGCUUCUCUUCUUUUCUCCGAACACUUCCUCUCUUCGAUUCUCCGUGAACCAGACAAGAUCCUGACUUUUCCGCCGCUUGUCUUCACCGGCGUUGGCUUCUACUGCUUCCGCCAUUGAUAUCUCAGCUUGAGCUUUGAUGAAUCCGUUGUGUCUCCGUGAAAAACUCUCUCGAUCUCAUCUCACGACACCCACGAGACCGAAACCACUACUUGUCAAAAUAAAAGCUCACUUGAUGUAGACGUCUCUUCACCAACUUAGCUUCCUUUGCCAUGUUUGUAGACGAUUCUUUGCUACCAACACAUUCUCCUUCAGGUUCCUUGCAUAGACAACUCCUGUCUACAACCAUUCUUCAAAAGGUAAUCUCCUUCACUCAAAUUCAUUUUUUUUUCUUUGUAACUCCCUGUCGAACUAUCAGUUUGCUUUUCCUGAAACUGAUACUUUCUUUUGUGGCCUUUCCGCGAGGUGAGCGAGUCGACAGUCUUGUCACCUGCAGCCACACGAGACCUUCUAAGGCAGAACCUUGAGGAUCUCCAAGCAUGUCUCGAACUUCUGUCCAGGUUGCUGUAACACGCCGUAGUCUUCAAGCUUCAAUCACCAACGAGCUGAGUCUUCUUCUCCGCACCAGAUAAGAAUUCUCCUUGCUUGUUUAUUGAAUCUUGCCCUCGAAUCUCUGUAACUAGGAUCUCUGUUUAGCCUAAGCUCUGAUACCACUUGUAGAGAAACGACCUUGGCUGUUUCUUGUAACAAGUAAAUCGACACAACAAUAUGUUGGGCGAGUCCUCUCCAAACCGGAGACAAACUCUAUAUCACUAUGAAUCGAAAACGUUACAAGCUUCGCACUAGUUGCGUGUUCUAUGCUUUAGAGAGUUUUAUGUUUCUGUAUCUAACAAUGAGAACCUAGACUUCUAUUUAUACAAAAUAGAUCGUAGGUUUUCCUAGAUGGAAAAGGAUUGUAUUAUUCCUAAUACUAUAAGGAAAUAGUUUCCUUAUUGAACCUACACUAAUCCAUAUCUCUUAUGUCUUGUUUCAGGUUCUUCCCGAAGCCCACCAGCAGGCCCAAGAGACACAAAGCCUCACAGUAAGGACAGUCAAUGGCUUUAACAUUGUUGGUUCUGUCGAAGUACCAGUCACCUACAGACUCUGCCACUCUCUGCCAACCAAAAAGAGACAAUCAUGUCAUGAGCAAAGUUUAACAAACUUGAUGUCAUUGCUACAAUGAGAUAGAAACAACUUGAGGGCCAGUCUUACUUUUCCGUUUAGCUUGGGAGAGUCUUGAGUAAACCAAGUGUCCUGUAUCUCAGACUGACAAUGCGUGAAGCAAGAGUUUAUGAAAAGACCGUUCUGAGGAGAUGCUGAGAAUGAGUUUAAGGCAAGCACCAUUUGUUUCCUGAAUUCUAUUUUGUGUAAGGACAUAGAAAACAUCAGUGAGUAGAGAGUGUGACAGUAAAAUUACUAAAAAACUUUGAAUUUAAAUUUUCCACCUUGUAAGAAUUGGAGCUGUGAUGAAUUACAACGCGAGAUAUCUGA